GACGAACGCUGGCGGCGUGCUUAACACAUGCAAGUCGAACGGAAAGGCCCUGCUCUUGUGGGUUGCUCGAGUGCCGAACGGGUGAGUAACACGUGAGUAUCCUGCCCUUGACUUUGGGAUAACUUCUGGAGACUCGGGAUAAUACAGGAUAUGAGCUCCUGCUGCGUGGUGGGGGUAGGAAAGUUUCGGCGGUUGGGGAUGGAUUCGCGGGUUAUCAGCUUGUUGGUGGGGUAGGUGCUUACCAAGGCUUUGACGGGUAGCCGGCCUGAGAGGGGGACCGGCGUCAAUGGGACUGCGAUACGGCCCAGAAUGGUACGGUAGGCAGCAGUGGGGAAUCUUGCACAAUGGGGGGAAGCGUGAUGUAACAACGUCGCGUGCGUGAUGACGGCCUUCGGGUUGUAAACCGAUUUCGCCUGUGACGAAGCGUGAGUGACGGUAAUGGGUAAAGAAGCAACGGCUAACUACGUG
rnacentral:rRNA from 1 species